ensembl:lncRNA
GGCCAACCUGAAGGAACCUCAAUUGAAAAAUUCUUAGAAGAAAGUCUAGGCCUGGUGGAAGCCAUUUACAGGUGUAAUGAACAUAAUGCAGUGAAGCAGGGCCACUGAAUCAUCUGUGUACACUCUCGAGGACACUGAAAGAGGCAACAUGCAAUAAUUAUUACAUUUGAAAUGAAGACUUUCUUAAGAAAAUAAAACCUGUAUUGUGCUGCUGUUGCAAACUUAAACUGUGUAAGCGUUCUGUAAUGCAGACUCAGCAUGUCUGCCAAAGACAUUGUGAGGAGAAAUAAAACAGCCAUCCAAACGAUUCUGUCCGGAGACUACAGGCUGAUCCUCAACAAAGUUUAUGAGAAGGAGCUGAUCACUGAUGAGGACUACAACAACCUUAAAAGUAUCAACAGGGAAGAUGUGGAGGGACACAUUGUUGAGCUUGUGGAUAAGAUCAUGAAUAAAGGAGACGAUACCUGCAGAGCUUUUCUGAACCUCCUGCAAACUGAUGAAAAAAUGCAAACUACUUUCCCUCAGCUGAAGAACACUCCGUUUCUACCUAAGCCUGACCAAGCUUCUUUACUUCAGCAUGACGGCUCCAGUCAAAUGGAGGUGAGG